GUUAAGUCUUCUAAACUAGAACCAAGUAGAGAGAGACACACACGCCAUGACGAAGCAAUACUCUGCUUUCUCCUUGUGCAUGGUGCUCCUAGUUGUAGCUGCCAUGGUUUGUGUCAUUUGCACCAGCUCCGUCGAAGCAGGAAGGAGUGGAUACAACUCUUACCAUCCUGACGGAAGGGGUGGCUACAACUCUGUUCCAAAAAACGGUGGUGGCAGCCCCUAGGUCAAGCUUAUCAAACUAAAUAAAAAACGCUGCUUGGAUGAAGGACAUGAUUCAUGCAGUAUAUAUAUGCUAUAUAUACGUGUGGUUGUGCCCUAGCGCAUAUGUGUUAUAAUGGAGUGGUGAUAAUCUAGCUAAUAGUAUGUAUGUGUGGUAUAAUCCCGGGCUCCUGGCGUAAGGUUAUGUACAUGUACUGGACUAGUUUUCUAUACAUGUAUGAUGUAUCAACAAUAAUCAAGCAGUGCAGUUGAUCUGCACUUUGUCA